rnacentral:rRNA from 1 species
GAUGAACGCUAGCUACAGGCUUAACACAUGCAAGUCGAGGGGCAUCAGGAAGAAAGCUUGCUUUCUUUGCUGGCGACCGGCGCACGGGUGAGUAACACGUAUCCAACCUGCCCUUUACUCGGGGAUAGCCUUUCGAAAGAAAGAUUAAUACCCGAUAGCAUAAUGAUUCCGCAUGGUUUCAUUAUUAAAGGAUUCCGGUAAAGGAUGGGGAUGCGUUCCAUUAGGUUGUUGGUGAGGUAACGGCUCACCAAGCCUUCGAUGGAUAGGGGUUCUGAGAGGAAGGUCCCCCACAUUGGAACUGAGACACGGUCCAAACUCCUACGGGAGGCAGCAGUGAGGAAUAUUGGUCAAUGGGCGCUAGCCUGAACCAGCCAAGUAGCGUGAAGGAUGAAGGCUCUAUGGGUCGUAAACUUCUUUUAUAUAAGAAUAAAGUGCAGUAUGUAUACUGUUUUGUAUGUAUUAUAUGAAUAAGGAUCGGCUAACUCCGUGCCAGCAGCCGCGGUAAUACGGAGGAUCCGAGCGUUAUCCGGAUUUAUUGGGUUUAAAGGGAGCGUAGGUGGACUGGUAAGUCAGUUGUGAAAGUUUGCGGCUCAACCGUAAAAUUGCAGUUGAUACUGUCAGUCUUGAGUACAGUAGAGGUGGGCGGAAUUCGUGGUGUAGCGGUGAAAUGCUUAGAUAUCACGAAGAACUCCGAUUGCGAAGGCAGCUCACUGGACUGCAACUGACACUGAUGCUCGAAAGUGUGGGUAUCAAACAGGAUUAGAUACCCUGGUAGUCCACACAGUAAACGAUGAAUACUCGCUGUUUGCGAUAUACAGUAAGCGGCCAAGCGAAAGCAUUAAGUAUUCCACCUGGGGAGUACGCCGGCAACGGUGAAACUCAAAGGAAUUGACGGGGGCCCGCACAAGCGGAGGAACAUGUGGUUUAAUUCGAUGAUACGCGAGGAACCUUACCCGGGCUUAAAUUGCAGUGGAAUGAUGUGGAAACAUGUCAGUGAGCAAUCACCGCUGUGAAGGUGCUGCAUGGUUGUCGUCAGCUCGUGCCGUGAGGUGUCGGCUUAAGUGCCAUAACGAGCGCAACCCUUAUCUUCAGUUACUAACAGGUCAUGCUGAGGACUCUGGAGAGACUGCCGUCGUAAGAUGUGAGGAAGGUGGGGAUGACGUCAAAUCAGCACGGCCCUUACGUCCGGGGCUACACAUGUGUUCCAUGGGGGGGUACAGAAGGGAGCUAGCGGGCGACCGUAUGCUAAUCCCAAAAUCCUCUCUCAGUUCGGAUCGAAGUCUGCAACCCGACUUCGUGAAGCUGGAUUCGCUAGUAAUCGCGCAUCAGCCACGGCGCGGUGAAUACGUUCCCGGGCCU